UGUUCCGGGUCUGGCUUUGAAACAAGUGGACUUGGAAGUUGUCUGUAUGUUUGUUGUCUAUAAGAAUUAAGACCCGAUAACAAGUAGACUGGUUGCUGUGGAUCUGAUGGAGUAAAAUCCCCACACGUGGAGCAGGCUUUAAACACAGCACGAGAACCAGCCACACAAACAGUGACUUGGAUCCGUCACACAGCUCCUGGAUACUUUAUUGUUGACUGGAUAGGAGCCUGACCAAACUACUGCCAAAUCCUCAAGUGGCUGCGGUAGCUAUUUCCAACUUAACAACAGCCACUGGAUGACAAGUGUGGAUCAUUCCUCCAGGCUGCACCGCUCCUGGGAGAGGAACUGCUGAGCCUAAAGAGAUAGUGAUUCUGCACCGUAAAGGAUAUAGAAUGAGUGCACUCAGUCAAAUUUUCCCCGUAUUUGAUAAGCAGAUUGAACAUUUGGGAUUUUCAAAGAAGGACUGUGGGGGAAUGUUGAAGGAUUUUCUUUCCUCUUGAAUUUUAAAAAGGUAGAACAUUUCCAGUUUGAUAAAACAAUUAUGCCUAAAAAAAAAUGUUAGUUUCAUAUGACAUGUUAUGGUCAUCAUACAUAUUCUAAACAACAUUCUGUUUUGUAUUCUGAUCAUUUAAUAUCCCAUGCUUUGUACAUCUAUAUACAAAUUUGCUUCCAGGGCAAUAAUAACCAGUCGGCCUGCUUGUCAGAUGAACUUGUUUUAGAAGAGACAUUUCUCUGAAUAUUCGUCCAUGUGCGAUUACCGUGGCCUUGACAGAGACCUGCAGCUGAACUGAACCUCUUAGCAUGAUACAGUGACCGGAGAGGCCUCUGGGAAGUAGAGGAGGUCAAACUGAGGUAAAACACCCUGGUUGGAUGUUAAGCUGACUGCACAGUGUUUUCACACAUUGACCCUGUAUAGUUUUACAGUGUAAAGCCUCAGGAGAUGUUAAUAAUGUUGGAUAAGUUUAAUCCUGACCGGUUUACAGAUGUUUAUGUCAGCGGGGAUUCUCCUGAGGAAACAUUACACCCCUUCCAAGGCAAAUAGUACGCAUAACAGAAGUGGAAACUGGAUAGAACGGGACAUUUAAAGUAAAGCCACAGAGCUAAUAAAGGGCAAAUCCUCAGACUGUCUUUUACCUCCCUCCUUCUGUGGACACCCUCAGGGACAAGGCUAAUUUAAUUCCACAUAAACACAACCAGGCAACAACAACAAAAAAAAAAGUGGCAUGCAGACACCCAGACCAGUCAUCUGUUGUUACAUAAUCACGGACACCUUGCUUGUACUCAUUAUCAUUCUUUUUCCAU